UACAGAGGUCCCAAGCGUUGUUCGGAAUCAUUGGGCGUAAAGAGCGUGUAGGCGGCCCGGUAAGUCCGCUGUGAAAGUCCAGGGCUCAACCCUGGAAUGCCGGUGGAAACUGUCGGGCUAGAGUCCGGAAGAGGCGAGUGGAAUUCCUGGUGUAGCGGUGAAAUGCGCAGAUAUCAGGAGGAACACCAAUGGCGAAGGCAGCUCGCUGGGACGGUACUGACGCUGAGACGCGAAAGCGUGGGGAGCAAACAGG
rnacentral:rRNA from 1 species